rnacentral:rRNA from 1 species
UAAUGUAUAGCUAAUCUGCCCUAUGCAGGAGGACAACAGUUAGAAAUGACUGCUAAUACUCCAUACUCCCUCUUAACAUAAGUUAAGUUGGGAAAGUUUUUCGGCAUAGGAUGAGGCUAUAUUGUAUCAGCUAGUUGGUGAGGUAAUGGCUCACCAAGGCUAUGACGCAUAACUGGUCUGAGAGGAUGAUCAGUCACACUGGAACUGAGACACGGUCCAGACUCCUACGGGAGGCAGCAGUAGGGAAUAUUGCUCAAUGGGGGAAACCCUGAAGCAGCAACGCCGCGUGGAGGAUGACACUUUUCGGAGCGUAAACUCCUUUUGUUAGGGAAGAACCAUGACGGUACCUAACGAAUAAGCACCGGCUAACUCCGUGCCAGCAGCCGCGGUAAUACGGGGGGUGCAAGCGUUACUCGGAAUCACUGGGCGUAAAGGACGCGUAGGCGGAUUAUCAAGUCUCUUGUGAAAUCCUAUGGCUUAACCAUAGAACUGCCUGGGAAACUGAUAAUCUAGAGUGAGGGAGAGGCAGAUGGAAUUGGUGGUGUAGGGGUAAAAUCCGUAGAGAUCACCAGGAAUACCCAUUGCGAAGGCGAUCUGCUGGAACUCAACUGACGCUAAGGCGUGAAAGCGUGGGGAGCAAACAGGAUUAGAUACCCUGGUAGUCCACGCCCUAAACGAUGUAUACUAGUUGUUGCUAAGCUAGUCUUGGCAGUAAUGCACCUAACGGAUUAAGUAUACCGCCUGGGGAGUACGGUCGCAAGAUUAAAACU